GAUGAACGCUGGCGGCGUGCCUAAUACAUGCAAGUCGAGCGAACAGACGAGGAGCUUGCUCCUCUGACGUUAGCGGCGGACGUGUGAGUAACACGUGUAUAACCUACCUAUAAGACUGGGAUAACUUCGGGAAACCGGAGCUUAUACCGUAUAAUAUAUUGAACCGCAUGGUUCAAUAGUGAAAGACGGUGUUUCUGUCACUUAUAGAUGGAUCCGCGCUGCAUUAGCUAGUUGGUAAGUUAACGGGUUACCAAGGCGACGAUGCGUAGCCGCACUGAGAGGGUGGUCGGCCACACUGGAACGGAGACGCGGUCCAGACUCCUACGGGAGGCAGCAGUAGGGAAUCUUACGCAAUGGGCGAAAGCCUGACGGAGCAAAGCGGCGUGAGUGAUGAAGGUCUUCGGAUCGUAAAACUCUGUUAUUAGGGAAGAACAAAUGUGUAAGGAAAUGUGCACGUAUUGACGGUACCUAAUCAGAAAGCAACGGCUAACUACGUG
rnacentral:rRNA from 1 species